UACGAAGGGGGCUAGCGUUGUUCGGAUUUACUGGGCGUAAAGCGCGCGCAGGCGGCUUUGCAAGUCAGGGGUGAAAUCCCAGAGCUCAACUCUGGAAUUGCCUUUGAGACUGUGAGGCUUCGAGUACGGGAGAGGUGAGUGGAAUUCCCAGUGUAGAGGUGAAAUUCGUAGAUAUUGGGAAGAACACCGGUGGCGGAGGCGGCCAUCUGGCCCGUAAUUGACGCUGAGGCGCGAAAGCGUGGGGAGCAAACAGG
rnacentral:rRNA from 1 species